rnacentral:rRNA from 1 species
CAGCCGCCGCGGUAAUACGAAGGGUGCAAGCGUUACUCGGAAUUACUGGGCGUAAAGCGUGCGUAGGUGGUGGUUUAAGUCCGUUGUGAAAGCCCUGGGCUCAACCUGGGAAUUGCAGUGGAUACUGGGUCACUAGAGUGUGGUAGAGGAUAGUGGAAUUUCCGGUGUAGCAGUGAAAUGCGUAGAGAUCGGAAGGAACAUCUGUGGCGAAGGCGACUAUCUGGGCCAACACUGACACCGAGGCACGAAAGCGUGGGGAGCAAACAGGAUUAGAUACCCCGGUAGUCCCUGUCUCUUAUAA